UGAAUUCCUACUAAAUUAAGUGUCCUUUACAACUUGGUGUAGUUGUUUUGGAAGAAGGAGCACUUAUUUCUUCAAGUUGACAACUUGUUCAAGUGAAGAAAUUUGUAGAAAAAGAUUUUGAAGGAAACGGGAAUUGAAUUUGGAAAGGCGUAAAGAGCAUACAAGUUGUUUUGGAAGAAGGAGCACUUAUUUCUUCAAGUUGACAACUUGUUCAAGUGAAGAAAUUUGUAGAAAAAGGUA